rnacentral:lncRNA from 10 species
GAAGAUUAAAUUGCAGUUGAGGCCUGUGAAAGGGCCUAGCACAGUGCAGACCACAAAGUGCAGGGGCUUGACAAGUGUUUUCUGGACUGAAUCUCAGAGCCUUCCCAAGAAGAUCUCAGGGUCAUCAAUGUGAGUAACCCUCACAUGGGGUUCUAAACUUGAAAGAGAGUGACAUUCAGCAGAGUGUACCAAUGCACAUGGUUGAGACGCUACAGUUUAUCUCUGGGCUCCUCCAGCUACAGCAGCCAAAGCAUAUUCAAUCCGGACAAGUUUAUCAGACGGGCUGAAUGUAGUCAGCGAAAAGCCGUACCGCGCUCCGCCAUCUUUACCCGAAGAGCCAAAGCACAAGUUCAGGGAGGUGUCCACUGUCUCUCAAAUCAACCACCAGACUUUAGAGGGGCACAAGAUUGUUAACGCGCAAAGGUGGUUGAGGAAUUGGAAAGGUUGACUGGGGCUGCACCUUGGAAUUUAUUUUGUCUUGGAUAAUAUGUAACAUUAACAGAGAGCAGAAGCUGAUUAAAGUAUCUU